CACACACCGUAAAUAACAUUACACACAACAGAUCAAUGACAAGGCUCCUCUCUGUGUACUGCUGCCAAACACUACUAUAAACACUGUGUAUGCUUUAGGGGUGAACUGGGUAAGGUGAAUUAAUUGCCUAUGCUCCUUGUACAUUUUGGGUUCCCUCACCUUUCAUCCCAAAUUUUACAUCGUUCUUUUACAUUAUCUUUCUCAAUCAGGUUUUUAAUAAUUCUUCCAAGUGAAAAUAGCUGAUUGUUGAUAUGAUGACUUGUUUAGUGCGUUGCAUCGAUAGCAUACUCAGUACAGUAUAUGGGAUAAGCUACAUAGUUGUAGUGGUUAGCAACACUUUAUGUAUGCUAUAUAAAGCCUUUAUAGGUUGUAAGUUGUAAAGGACUUUUUAAAAUGUAUUUUUGGAUUGGAAUCCAGGUUUAUGUAGAGUUUAAUCCAGAGCCUUCCUGCAGGAAAAAAAGACCCCAUGUUCAGGACUUCAGUGAACUUUCUAGUGGCAGACACAAACAUUUCAUCCAUUCAUGUUCCUCAGAGACAAAGGGCCAUACUGUAUGCAACGCUUGGCUUCACUAUAGAUGCAGUAAAGAGGUCAAUGGAAUGCAUACCGUGGGCGAUGGAAGGACGCUGGACUUGCAGACAUUUAACAAAUCUGAUCCAUCAAAGUGGAUAUUGGUCAAAUCAGUCAUGAUGCAUUGGUAACGGGCCCACAAUGUGGUUACUAAAAUCUGAUGUGGAUAUAUUUGGCUGUUUUCACCUCAUAACAUGUAAAAGUUGUCCCUUUUCAGGUUUCGAAGAAGUGACUGCUAAAUGCUAACUCCUGUUUGUGUAAGCUGGUAGCGUAGCUAGCAUACAGAAAUCAGUGGUUGUAGUCAAAAGUCGUUUUUUAAAAUUGUAAUGCAGUUGAUUGAUGACGAUGACAUCAACAUGUAUGGGGGUUGACAUCUAUACAAGCAUUAUACUCUGAUUUUUACCUCAACAUAGUGUGGAAUACACAUGUAAACAACAGUCUAAAUGUAGGAUCAUUUGGCUGGGGGGGAAAUGAGGAGAUUCGGGAUCUUUCUCGCAUGGCAUCUUUCCCCCACACGUUUCCAUGGCAUUUCCAUUGUUUUGGUCGAGUUCCAUUGACCUCUUUACCAUCUGUUCUUUCUAUAUGGUCUUUAUUAUUUAACUGAAUGACACUGUGUGGCCAACAGGUUACCAUUUACAUGAUAUGAUUCUGAAUGACACUGUGUGAACAGCAUGUUACCAUUUACAUGAUAUGAUUCUGCAUUACAUGUGGUCUAAGUCUUUCUAUAAACUGGGUGGUUUGAGCCCUGAAUGCUGAUUGGAUGAAAGCUGUGGUAUACCAGACCGUAUACCAUGGGUAUGACAAAACAUACAUUUGUACUGCUCUAAAUACGUUUAUAAUAGCAAUAAGGAACCUCGGGGGUUUGUGGUAUAUGGCCAAUAUACCACGGGCUAAGGCCUGUAUCCAGGCACUCAGCAUUGUGUCGUACAAGAGAACAGCCCUUAGUCGUGGUAUAUUGGCCAUAUACCACACCCCCUCGGACCUUAUUGCUUAAAUCACACACAUCAUAACAUAUGGUCAGUCUCUCUCAGUGUUUUUCUGUGAUAUCAAACAACGCUGUUGCCACCACCUGUGAAACUGCAAUAUGAUAUGUCUUUUCCAUUUAUUUACAAAAGUUCGAAAAGACCUGGAAUGUUUUGUGAGAUAAUAUUUGGUGUGGUAUGGAGCCCCAUAUGAUCAUGUUAUUCAUUUAAUUGGACAUUCUAAUUUCUGAUGCAUGAUAGUACACAGAAUGAUUGUUAAACACGUGUGUGUGUGUGUGUGUGUGUGUGUGUGUGUGUGUGUGUGUGUG
rnacentral:lncRNA from 1 species